rnacentral:tRNA from 1 species
UUAGUAAAAUAUGGAGAAUCUUGAUAAGAUACUCUAGCCUAGGCGUUUACUAAAC